UCUCCCCCAAUUCACUCUCCUCUAGAGACCAAAUCUCAUCAAACAAUAAAUCACCGCUCCUAAAUCACACCGCCUUAGGGUGGUGACGCCACCACCAAAUAGCCCAAACUAACACCUUGAAGCCCCCACGACCUCCUCUCUCGAAAUUCCUAACCCAUACCCAUCGAAACAUUACCGACUCCAUCAAAUCUGGAAUCUAGGGAUAGGAUCUGAAGCCCCCAAGAGGUCACACUAUCGAUCUUUGAUCCCAUGGCUUGCAUGGGUGCCUACACAUGAUCUUCUGAAUAUUAAAGUUUGUUUAAACAUGAAAGUGAUGUUGUUCAGUUAUUUUUACAAAGAACAAUCGGGUAACAUCGGUCUUCGUUUAAGUCAGCAUUUCAAUUAGGUUUCGAGCCGUAAUUUGGUAAGUUCUUCCUCCCCUCUUGUGAUUUUCUUUCACUGUUU
rnacentral:lncRNA from 1 species